UGAUUCCUUCGGGGCAGGGUGAAAUUCCCGACCGACGGUAAAAAGUGGUACAACACUUUAAGUCCGUGACCCGUUUGAUAUUUAUGCAAACGGUGGAUCUGGUGCGAAUCCAGAACCGACAGUUAAAGUCUGGAUGGGAGAAGGAAAAC
rfam:Virgibacillus pantothenticus strain DSM 26 super13, whole genome shotgun sequence.